rnacentral:rRNA from 1 species
AUUUGGUUAACAAUUCCUGUAAUUGUUGCAUCUGCGGAAAGGAGCUUUUCUAAAAUCAAGUUGUUGAAGUCCUACUUACGUUCUACUAUGACACAAGAACUACUUAAUGGUUUGGAGAAACUAGCACUUGAAAAUGAUGUGUUGGCGAAGAUUGAUUAUGAAGAUAUAAUUGAAGAUUUCAUAUCAAUGAAUGCGAGACGGAUGACACUUUUAAAUAGAGCAUGA